GGCAGUUGCCUUAAAAACAAAAGACAUAGAGGAAGGGCGUAAGAAAUGUAAAAAAUGAGUAAUCACCUCUUUUUUUUUCUUAUCAUAGGUCUGCAUGUCAUCUUGGUCUUGCCGGUAGCAUCAAAACCCUAUCAUGUAACCAUGUUAUUAAUUCUGACUGUCAAAUUCUCUUCUGACGGUUGAUUUAUUCAUCUAUGGACAAAAUUUGCAUGACCGCCGUGUGCC
rnacentral:misc_RNA from 1 species